AGCUAUAGUAAUAAAAAUUCAAUUGUUGGAGCUGAGACAAGAGAAAUAUCACUAAGUAGAUCAGAAAAUGAUUUUAAAAAACGUGCUGGUAAAAUACAGAUGCUUCACACAUGAAAAUGAUGAUUUAAAAACACGUACACAAUCAAUUUUUAAUUGUCCAUUUAAAAAUUGUGAAACAGUAUAUGAAUGAUAAAGAUUUAAAAAUUAUUCAACUGAUGAUCUAUUAAUAUCUGGUAAUUCAUUGAGUGAUUCAAUAUCAGAUAUUAAAAAAAUCUUAAUAUUAUUUAUGGAAAAGUGCAUUUGAUAUCAACGAAAAAAAAAACCUUAUAUACUAACAUACAUGGCAAAUUGAAAAGGGUGAUAAUUUAUUUAUUAUAAAUUGUCACGAUAGAUAAUAAUACAUCCUAAUCACCCCCGUCUACUCUGUUUGAGAAAGACAGGGUUGAUCCAGUUUGACUUUCACACUACAACCAUUUAAAUUGGCAUGAAAAAUGAAUGAAUAUAAUUAUUGUAAAAAACAGUCAAAAUGAAUCUAAGUAACAAAUAAAAUAAUAAUAGUUUGGAACGACAAGAAGCUUCAAAAAAUACAGCAACAAUUUUUUGUAUAACUUCAAGGAUAUUAAAGCACUUUUCCGGGAUGGGUUAAUAAUUACAACUAGUCAGUGGUGAUCUAGAGGAACUUACCUUAUGGCAGCUAGCAGUUCUCGAGGUAUAUAUGCUCCAAUAACCCAAUUAAGUCUGGUCAAGUCCUCUCAGCAAAGCCAUGUAGAUGAUUUCCAGCAGAAACAACAGAUAUAUAACGAGAGUGGCUAAAAUAUCUGAUGUACUUAUGUAAUUAAUCCAACAACAUUCUUAAAAAUGGGACUGAAAAAAUGGCUAAAGUGGUUUGUCAUUGGUGCCAAGAUCAUUUUUGAUUGCAUCAAAUUUAUCCUGGUCAAUAUACACGUAAUACCAGAUUAACAUAAUGAAAGAGAAAGAAUAUGACAAGAGAAUAAUUGCUCUAUUCACAACACUCAGGACUCCUUGAAUGCUUAAAUACAACAUGAAUGAUACCAAGCAAAUGAUUAUGGUAUUAAAAGUGUCAUAAGGUGAACGUCGCUGGUUUUAGUUUGAGUUACCAAGUGCCUAAAAUUAAUCAAAUUGUUUAUAAACUACUCAACAAUUAUCAAAAACUGCUACACUUGGACCAGCGGCGAAAUGAGCCAUGAGAUUAUCAACAUUUUGCAAGUGCAAUUGAAUCUAAAACAUGUCAAGUUGAAAUGAAAUUGUGUGAUAUGAUUUAUCAAUCUUUUACUGAAGCAAGUAAUAACAUCACAUGGUGCUGGUAUUAUUGGCUCUCAUGCUCUCUCUACUGUGUACCAUUUAUUGUUGUCAUUGUUCAACAUUUGCCAAUCUAUAAACAUUAAAUAAGAAUUAAUAUUCCAACAAAAAAAUGACUAAGAAUUUAAUGUAUUUACGAGUGAAAAAAGUCUUGCUUUUUUAUUGAACCCGGAGAGGUAUUUUAAAUCUUUUUUUUAUU